GGGCGAGAGAGCGACGGGCAGCAUGAUGUGGAUGAUGGCCUUGUGAAUGGCGUCUCGUAGGCUAUGUUCAGACCGCCAGCCCAAAUCUGAUAUUUGGCCUAUUGUAUCCAGGUGAUAGUCUGAACAACCACUAACCGAAACAAAAUCUGUUUUUCAGCAUGUCUAGAUUGGAUCCAGAUUGAUUUUUAUUAGUCUGGACAGCCAGUAACUGCAAGAAAUCUGAGUUUUGGCAUGUCUCGAUUAGGUACAGAUAGAUUUUGAUAGCUUGGACAUCUAGUAACCACAAGAAAUCUGAUUUUUGGCAUGUCUAGAUUGGAUACAGAUUGAUUUUUUUAGUCUGAACAGUCACUAACCAUAUAAAAUCAAGAUAUGUCGAUUGCAACACAACAAAAACCAGAGCAAAUCUGAUCCAAUCACUCGCAAGUAACAUAGAGGACACCCAGUAACUGCAAGAAAUCAGAUUUUUGGCAUGUCUAGAUUGGGUACAGAUUGAUUUUUAAUAGUCUGGAUAGCCAGUAACCACAAGAAAUCAGAUUUUUAGGCAUGUCUAGAUCAGGUACAGAUUGGUUUUUAAUAGGAACUACAAGAAAUCAGAUUUCCGACUUAUCUAGAUUGGGUACAGAUUGAUCUUUGAUAGUCUGAACAGCCACUAACCACAUAAAAUCAGAUUGUUAGCAUGUCUAUAUUGGAUACAGAUAGUCUAUACAGCAGGUAACCACAAUGAGUCAUAUUUUUGGCAUGUCUGUAUUCGAUCCAGAUUGAUUUUUGAUAGUGUAGACAGCCAGAUCAAAUCUGAUUUCAACGAGUCUCGUGUGUCACUUUCAACAAAACAAACAACAACCUCAUCAAAUAACAGUAAGGACAGUCAUCUCAACAGAUCACAUUUGAGAAUUUGGAUCAGAUUUGGGUGCAGUCUGAACAGAACAUAGCCUCGCGGACGCUAAAGGUGGAUGCUCUUUGGUGAGUGAUGUUGCCCCUGUUCACUGGAGGGCCAGUAGAGGGCAGAGUGGAGUCAUUUUAGUUGCAGUUUGUUUUACUUGAAGAGCGAGGGUUUCAGCAUUCUUUGUGUCCGGACGGCCUCCCCUCGCCCCCUGUUCCCGCGCCCUGUCCGAAGCACUUCCCGUUUCAUGAAGGAGGGAACGGUAACCUGCACUAAUCGAUGCUGAAAUUAAAGCUUGGUGCUAAAAAGGUGGCUCGUUUAUGACCCACCGUCCAGAUAUAUUGGCAUUGACUUACGGACGUAUGAGCAGGAAUAUGGUUGGAAUGGUUAAAUGGUGCUGGCUACAUAUCUCUCUCUCUCUCUCUCUCUAUGUAUAAAUAUAUAUAAAUAUAUAUUUUUGUCGUGGUUGAUUAUUUGGCUCGGUUUGCUCAUGUAGGUGUCGCUGGUUUGGUUGUGCUGAAGACUGAAGGCUGCAGGUGGUUCAGCUGAGGCUCCUCUAAGUGCCUGAAGCACUAAACCUUCAUGUUUCCCUCCCUUCAGCGCCAGUAAAAUGCUAAAGUGGCUCAUACUGAGUCUAAGCCACUAGGGGCCAGUUAGCAUUAUGCAAAUUGAGAUCAUGCUACCCGGUCCCCACUGGUUUUUAUUCAUUGUUGGUGUGCAUUUGCAGCAUUCGCAGCGUUUUCAUUUUUGUACAUGUUGAAUUUCUUUCAGAAUCAGCGUAAACCUUUGAAUUAUGCAAUCCAUGCCACUUAUUUUUGCUAAUUAUAGAUUCUAAUCUAGAGAUAUACUAAGCGAUUAUAUUAACAUUCUCAUUUUACGCAAAGAUUAUCGCUACUAAAACCGAUGCAAUAGUCACGUCUCAUAGAGAUUAAGGUUUAAUCAGACUCUGUUUGUGGGCGGGAAUUAGUGCAUGUUGGCUUUUGGAGUGUUUUUCGAGAGUUCUAAAGAGCAUGUGCCUAGGGUUGAUUAAGUUUGUGACAGAGUAUAUAUAUAUAUAAAUAUCUAUAAAUAUAAUAUACCGUCUUUAUUGAUGAAUUUUCUCUUUCCAUAAUGGAACCACUAUUGGUGCUUCAGAGAUUGAAGAGCCGCCAGACAAGCCAGAUCUCUUCAUCAGAUGGUUUUAACGUGAUUGUAGCCUUUUAACAAAAUGUUUGGCUCGCCAAAGGUAUUACUGUCCAAGUCCCUGUUCACACCCGGUCACUUUGUGUGAUUUGAGAGUCAGGAUUGUAUCUAAAUAAGGCCAAACCACAAACAAAUACAAGUGUAGAUACAUCCAAGACUCAAUUGCAGCAUAUUUAGAACCAGUACAAAUCCAAUCAAUCAAACAAACCACUUCAGAAAGGGGUCUGAGAUGCAUUUAAAGCCAAGACAAAUGCAGAUCACUCAACAAACCACUUCAGAAGGUUGUCUGAGAUCAAUUUGAAACAUAUAAAUGAGAUCCCUCAAGAAAUCACUUCAGAAUGUGGUCUGAGACAUUUAAAGUUAAUAGAAAUGCAGAUCAUGCAAACAAACCCCUUCAGCAGGUGGUCUGAGAUCAAUUUGAAACAGACAAAUCAGAUCAAUUUGAAACAUACAUUUCUUAACAAAUCACUUCAGGAGGUGGUCUGAGACACAUUUGAAACCAAUACAAAUGUAGAUCACGCAAACAAACAUCUUCAGAAGGUGGUCUGAGACAACAUUUAAAACGAAUACAAAUCCCAAAACUCAAACCAGUUCAGAAGGUUGUUUGAGUCACAUUUAAAACCAAUAUAAAUCGAAUCACUAAAUCACUUCAGAAGUUCUGAGACGCACCUGAAAAAACAUUUUAGGAUGCAAUCCAAACACUAGUUACACAAAGUGACAAGGUGUAAACGGGGUUUAAGUGCAUUUUGUCCUGACGGAACUCCGAGGACAGAGGUUUUGUUUGGUUUGUGAUGCUGACAGGAAAGUAUGGUAGCAGAUCACGAGUGAGUAGCACAGUUAUUGUGUGUGUUUGUGUAUAUAUAUAUUUUGAAAAUAUGCCUUCGGAAGAAGAGAAGAUGCUUUGGUUGUAGCAUUUUUGUUUUACAUAUUUUUUUUCGUUUUGUUUUAUUUUUGGCUGGCGUUUUUUUUUUUUUUUUGUACCCUCCCUUCAGCGAUUGAACCCCAAACUUGCGUUUUGUUGGAGAAUCGUUGGAGGUAGAGAUGAAACUACAAGGAAGAUAACUAAAAAAAAUAAAACGAGACAUCGCCUAAAACUCUUAAAACUCUCAAAACUCGUACUCGACUUGUAUAUCUCCCCAUACGCUUUUAGAUGUUGAGUUUUCUUUAGUUGUUUAGUCUUUUAGCGUUUAUAAAAUAUUUAAACAUUAUUUUAACCUCAAUUUUUUUUUCUUUUUUUUUUGAAAGUGUGAAGUUGAAAGAGUGUUAGUUAAGAAUCUACAGCGGAGCUUAAAAGUCCUUAGAAAGUGCCUUUCCUCACGACGGUGCUGAAGAAUACGAGCCUAAAAGUGACAGAUCAAAGAUCAAACAGCCGAGGAGAAGUGUUGCGCUCACACACACAACUACACAAACACACAUAUACAGGGGUUGGACAAUGAAACUGAAACACCUGGUUUUAGACCACAAUAAUUUAUUGUGGUGACGGACAGUUCUGGUGGAAACAGGAGAGUUGAGGUGCACAUUGAAUUCUGCCGUGAUUUGAUCAGCCGUGGUUUUAUGUUUUUUGGAUACAAUCCGGGUUAGCACCCGACCAUCCCUUUCAGACAGCUUCCUCUUACAGCGUCCACAGUUAAUCCUGUUGGAUGUGGUUGGUCCUUCUUAAUGGUAUGCUGACAUUGCCCUGGAUACCGUGGCUCUUGAUGCAUCACAAAGACUUGCUGUCUUGGUCACAGAUGCGCCAGCAAGAUGUGCACCAACAAUUUGUGCUCUUUUGAACUCUGGUAUGUCACCUAUAAUGUUGUGUGCAUUGCAGUAUUUUGAGCAAAACUGUGCUCUUACCCUGCUAAUUGAACCUUCACACUCUGCCCUUACUGGUGCAAUGUGUAAUUAAUGAAGAUUGGCCACCAGGCUGCUCCAAUUUAGCCAUGAUGAAACAUCCCACACUAAAAUGACAGGAGUUUCAGUUUCAUUGUCCAACCCCUGUACAGUAUACAACCACACAAACAACAUACACACCUUCUUCAUACACAUUUCUAUCUGUUUAAGUACAGAGACUCUAAAUGACGAUGUGCAUCAGUGCACGCUCAGACAUUACAAUGACAAUAUAUGCCAAGUAUAUGGACGUACAGUUCGUGAGCUCUAUCUUCAGUGUGUUAUAGAGGAGUCAGGACCAAUAGACGUGCUGGCAGAGGUGAUUAGGGAUAUUUGAGCGAGGUGGAGGACAGUAGGGCCUAGCACAGCACUUUACAAAGACUGCCACCCAAACAGAAAGCUGCCGCCCAGACGGCCGGUUCGCUCUCUGCUUCGUUCUUUCUGUUUCCUCUGAACCCGCUCUUUCCGUCAUCUCCUCCAGAUCUGUACUGGUGAUAAGCAGAAGAUCACUUCGGGCCUCGUACGAGUGCGUGUGUGCAACCACUCUGUAUAUACGGCCGAUCAUUCAAGAACUGAAAGUUUACGCCUGGCACCCACUGUGGCAGGACUCGGGUGCUUUCCGACCUGACAGAAAGUCCCUUUGGGUAGUUACUCGUUCUCUAUUUAUUGUGCAAUGCCCUAGACUUUAUUAUACUUAUAUAGAUAGCAAAAAAUAUAUAUAGAUAUUUUUAUUACUGUUCACUUCUGACCUACACUACGUUCAGACAGCAGACAAAAGUGACCCAAAUCCAAUCAGACCCAAAUGAAACUAUAAAAUUACAUUUUCAGUUUCGAUUUGAGGAACAUUUUAGAUCAUCCACAGUGAAACUUCGAUAGAAAUCCAGUGCAUAUCUGAUACAGAGUUACAUAAUUCAGUCUGAACAGCCAAAUCUGAAUUCGCCCGGAGUUCUUGUGACUUUUUAUACGUUCAUACAGUUAGAGUCACUUACACUUGGACAAAUACAAAUCCAAUGCAUAUCUUAUACAAAGUUACAAAAUACAAAAUUUGCCUAGAGUGUAAAAAUCUAAAGUUACUUUCAGAUGAUCCACAUUGGAAAUCUGAUACAAAUCCAGUGCAAAUCCAAUACAAAUGUACAUGACUCCGUCUGAAUAGCCAAAUCCUUUUCACUUGUGACUUACAACACUUUCAUACAGCAGAUAAAAAGGGCCCAAAUCCAAUCCGACCCAAAUCAGCUUAAAUUUGAGCAAAAUUUUAGAUCAGCCACAUUGAUGAUACAGAUUUAAAAGUCUGAACAGCUUACAAUACCUACAAUACUUUUAUACAGCGGAUAAAAGUGACCCAAAUCCAAUCUGACCCAAAAACCCUAGCUAUCAGCCCCUGGAGCUCUUGGAUUUUUGGAUAUAAUUCACAUUUAAAAAAUUAGAAAGUGUGAACAACCUUAAAAAAAACACAGAGUUGGUUCACUUUUACCUGCUGUGUGAACAUAGCUUUAGAAACGCAGAGUUGAUUUAGUUUUUUCUACAGAUUUACAACCCAUACUCCUCCCUACCCUCCAGUUGUGGUGUGUGUUUCGUCACGUGGGUGCCCAUUGGUCAGUCAGUCAGUCAGCUGGUUGGUCGGUUGUUGAGUCGGUUGCUUGGUCGGUCCAGGAGGAAAAUACCUCUCUUCAAGAGAUCUCGAAAAACACUGCACCUCACUCACCUUGUUAUGCUGCAAAACGUUAUUCUAAAUGAGAUAAAACUGCAAAUAUUGCUUUGAUUACAGUAUAAUGCUAGAUUUAAUGCCUGACAACAUUUAAUCCUUAAAUAUUUUAGAUUAAAAAGAAUAAUAAUUGUAAGAAGACUUUUUUUUUGUGAGUGUGUCUUAACACGUUUUUUUUUUCUUUGUUGAGCCAACUUUUUAUUUUGUUGUCUUAUUUAAAUGUUUUUUUUUUCUUUUUAAUAUAUUAGAAAUAUAUAUGCGAAAUAUUUUAUGGUGUAUUUAUUGAGAGUGUGCUAAAGUGCGGCUGGAGUGUCCGCGGUGUAGGCAGCAUUAUUUGGGGGAAGGGGAGCUAAAGGAGGGUACAUAAUUACCCAUUAAUGUCCUGAACAUACAAACUAAAACUACCUUAAAAACUUUAUGUCCAGAUUCAGUCCUGAGUUUUCUUAGUUCUUAGUUUAGAUGGUUCUUUGGAGCACCACCAUUGAAGAAAACCAUUUUUGACCAAAUGUUUGUGGACUUUUAUCCUUCUAAUGAAUUAAAUAUUAAUCAAUAAAGUAUAUAUUUUCAGUAGAACAGCACUCUAUGGAGCAGGUUAACUAGAACCAGUUGGCACCAUGCCUACCUGAUGCCAGGCAUGAAUCGCAUCUAGGUUAGUUGAGAGAGAGUUACUCCCACAAAACCAUGAUAAACUCUUUUAAAUACUCUUGAUUUUGGAAGAAACAAUGGAUAUUCUGUGGUAUACUUGUAAAAAGAGUCAGUUGCUGGAAUGUUCUUCAGAUGGUUCCCAAUGGUGGUUACUAUGGUAUAACUCCAAUAACCAUUUGGCUCCAUAUGGCAAAGCCACAAAAUUUGACCCAAUCAAAGUGAACAUCCUCCUGGUUCAACUAAUUGGGUUCAACUCAACUUUAACCUGGUUUUGUUAUAGAACUGUUGAUACAGGAGAAAUGCUAAGCUAAGCUAUGCUAAAGAGGCUUCUGCACCACAACUGGACUGGAUUUUGGACUGCUUUGGUCUCUGGUUAUGCUCAGACACAUGAGUACAGUUGGCAUUGAUAGACGUUCAUGAGAAGUUCUGAAAUCUAUAGUACAUUUUUGGAGGUGGACACCUUUUGUAUCAGUGGUUACCAAGUCAAGCUCCUGGAUUCCUGCCUGUACACAAAAUACAUUACAGUUCCAACUAACGUUAUUCAUUUUGGGUUGAUAAAAGCGGAAAAUUCUGGAUGGGAUGUUUGAGAGCAGUAUAAUCAAUCUGAUCUGGAGUAGUAUAAUCAACCACUCCUCUAACUCUGAUUGGUCAAAAUUCUUGCAGUAACCAUUACGAUUGGUUAGAAGUCUUGUUUAAGAGACUUAAAGACCAAAAUAAUGAUAUUUUUAAAAAUUAGUUCUUUGAGUGUAUGCAUUGGUAUCGAACCGUUAAAAAAAAUUAAGUUAAAAAUUAAGUGGACUUUUAUGUCCAUUUUCUCUCAAAUGUAUGGCUUUUAUUGGAUUAUGUGAAACCUCAAUCUUUAAUCCAAUCAUAUGACCCAUCUGUGAUUGGUCAGAAUUCUCGCAGUAAACAUUAUGAUUGGUGAAAAAUCUCGUUUUAGAGCCUUAAAGGCCAAAAUAAUGAUAUUUUUAACAAUUUUGGGUCUUUAAGUGGCUCAGCUGACGCUAUGGCCCAAGAAUCACAACCCUGAAUCCCGAGUCCUGCUGCUUCGCCAUCAGCAGCCGGAGUCUGAGAGAGCACAGUUGGCCAUGCUGUUCUUAAUAUCAGUAUUACAAUAUCCAUCCAUCCAUGCACUACGUACAUUAGUUGGAACUGAACUGAACUUCAACAGGUUGUCCAGGAGUUUGUCGCUUGUUUGCUUGCUUGGUCUCCACCACUAAUGACGUUCGCCAUGUCGGCGAUAAAUCCCAGUCUUACCUUUCCCCCCCCUUAACUUCUCAAUGAGUCAAAAAAAAGAAAGCUCCUCUCGCCCCCACGUGCUGCGUCUCUUGGUUUUAGGGGACAGAGAACCACACUGACUUCACUUUAAUUUACAAUAUAAUAACGUAUAUAAUAAAGAAGCUGACGUGUUUCAAACCAGAGCUGCUAAACUCUCAGCCAUAGAAGUUCCCUCUGCUAUUUUUUGGGCGGGAAGUUCGUGGUCGCGUGCUCGAGUUCAGUCGUCUUUGUGCCAGAGCCUUUUUAAAGAGAAAAAAAAAAGAGAGAGGAGGAAGAAGAAGCAAAUCCAUGAGUCCCAUUCCACUCUUGACUACAUGAGCCUCAGCCUUAACUGUAUUCUUUGUAUGUUGUCGAGUUUUGAUUUUUCCUUUUUCCUUAUUAAUGCCUUAGUUGUAUAGAGACUUAUGUAUAUUAUACUAACCCCGCCCAUCGUCCCCGUGCCCCUGCCGGUUCAUCCCAGGGGGCGUCUCGUCUCUUUUAUAAAAGAAAACCACUAAGUGUGCUGCAAGAGCAAAUCCAGAUGUGUGAAUAUACAGUAUAUAUAUGAUAUAUUAGUCCCUGGUUAUGGCUCGUAGUGUCCAGCAAGAUUACGAUUACGAUAAAGACAAAGAUGAAGAGGGACUGAUUCAGUCUGAUUUACAAGACACCAUUUCGUCUGUAAAACGAAGAAGCAACAACAGCAGCAACAACAGCAGCAGCAACAACAAAACACAUCGUCAUGUCAUGUAUCGCAGGUCUAUUUGUCGGCCACUAUAGUAUAAUUUCGUGCGAGGGAGGACGGAGGCAUACAGCUCCCGUGGAGUUCAAGCAAGAAAGGAUUUGACGAGCUUUUUUCCGAAAUCCGAGGAUUGUUUACAAGUCAAGUUUACUGAAAAACUACUAAACGUCAGUCUCCAGCAUUCCAAACCAGGACUGUGAAAACGCUGUUGCGUCGAGGACGGUGCGAAAAGAUCUCCUCCCAAACGUCCCAACGUACGUCCUUUACGCUUCCGGAAAAAAAAAAAAAAAAAAAAAGCAGCAUCCGCCAGACUCCGAACGACUCCACGACUGUGUUCACUCAUCGUAAAACAAAGCGUUUCGUCCCUUAAAGGAAGAACCAAAGCACUCUCGCGCCGGCACUCUUUCAGCGAAGUGUCCUUCAAGCCUCGACGGACGACGCCGGAGGCCUUUGCGUCACGAGGACGUCCCUCGCGAAUGUUCAAACAAAUGUUCAGGAUCCUUUAUCCUUUACGGAGCUCCAUGCCUCUGUCUUCCCCUCUCUCUUCCUCUCUCUGUGUUGCAAAGAUUCUCCGAUGUACCAAGGGGUCUUUUUAUUUUACCUUUAAAUGUAUUUCUUAUGUAUGUUUUGUAACUCUCUCUCUCUCUCCCUGUAGAUUUAAUGGCCUUUUAGUGUUGCUUUGCCUCAGUUUGAAGUGUAUCUUUCACUAAUACUUGCAAUAAAAAGCUUUGCUUUUGA